AUCUUGUAUGAUAGUGGCAAAAAACCCUUCCAAAGUUGGGUUCACCUCACCCUAUUCGGAUCACCAAAAUCAACGGUUAAAAUGACGUAUAAAAUACGAUAGAUUUAUUUAAAAUUCUUGAUAAAAUUAUUUCCAUACUAUUUUAGGGAAAACCUCAACAGCUAUAGAUCAUCGUUCUAUUCCCUUGUUACCCCCGCUCGACCCAGCUACACUCUUAUUACCUGAAAGCAAUUGUGAAGCAAAAGGGUGAGCACAACUAGCCCAGUAAAGAAUAUCAUGACUAAAGAUAAUUAAAUUAUCAAUAGCCUUCGUCAAUAAUAAAUCAAGGAUUUAUAACAUAUGGUAGAUGAUAAAAAUUUUCAACCAUAGUUGCAGCGGAACGAGCAAUCCAUUAGAAGAUUCAAAUAGACCAUAAAGUCUAUUAUAUUCUCUUUGUUAAAAGUCCACCAACAAUGUUUUAACCCUGUAACAUCAGUCAACAGUUCAUGUCCACAAUCAUGUAAAUAACUCAGAUUAGGUUACCUAAAGCAAGACAAUGCUUGUUUUAAAGAUCAAGUGACAGAAGACAAAUUGAACUUAGCUUUGCUCAUCAAAUGAUGGCAGCCCCAAAGAGAAAUUUCUUUGUGAAAUUCUGAACAUGAAAUAGAAACACAAAAAUUGACUUUUUGCAUUACUUAAUGAAUAUAUAGUUGCUGAAGCAUCUGAUACAACCUCACUGCAACAUGUACUAGAGAAUAAAUAAUAAUAAAUAAAUAAAGGAGACCUGGGACAAAUUAUAGGGCAUGCUGUCAUCUUUCCAAUUGAUUGUCCAAUUGUCUUACUGAAGUCCUACAACUAUUAAUUUCACUUAUAUUUACAUUGGACAGUAUAGAAAAGAAUGCAAGAAAAUGAAAACAGAUUUUAGGCAACGAACUCUAAACCGCAACUUAUGUAAACCAGGAAAAUCUGGCAUAUUCUUAAGAGUUUAAUCAGCUUAUUAAUAUAGCAGGCAUCUAAAUGAAGUGACUCUAAAAAGCUGGGCCCUUCACAUGUUGUCACAAACAAAAUUGGAGUUUAAAACUAGAAAAUCAGCAUUCGUGAAUGCAAUCUACACGAGUUACCUGAAUCUAGAGAAAAAGCGGUUUAAAAGGUCACAAGUUUUUCUCCAACAGAACCAAAAAAUAAACAAUCUUACCCAGGAAGUCAGGUUUUUUUAAUCAUAGAAGUUAGAACAAAUAGUCAAAAGUUUUUAAAUUUUUUAUUUUGCCAAAAUACUGAAAGUCUAUUUCAGUAAAUGAGCAAAAUAAAGUAGAAAACAUAAUUUACCCAGUAAUGGCAAUAAAACUAUCAGGAAACAUAAAGUAGUAUUGGUUUCCCACAAAAUAAUAUACUUGUAUGAUUUUUUUUUUGUAUAUAUGACCGAAUGAAGAACUCUAGUUGUCAAGAUUAGCUCACAAAACAAAAAACAUCUAUGGCAUUAUUUUAUGAGUUAUUUUGUAAAUUACAGAGACCAUUUGAUUACCAUAUUCUAUAAAUCAGCAAGCAAUCAAAAAUGCAGCAUUUGAUAGUACAAAAAGAAUAAAUAAAUAUUAAACGAAUCUGUAAACUGACGAGGAACAAUCAAAAUUACAAAGGCCAAGCUUAAUUCCAUGAAAGAUAACAGAACCUCCAUGAAAUUUCCAAAUAAUCCAGCACAGAGAAAUUGAACCAUUUAACCAAAGCUUAAAUUUUAGUUCUCACAAAUACAUGGGCACACAUGGGCACAAAAACCACAUCACAAAUAUACUACCACAACUUACUUUAAACUGAUCCAUUAAAAAAUAAAUUCUAAUCUAUCACAAUAAUUUUCUCAAAUCAAAUUACUAUAAAUAUACGCAGUCACACACAAACACAGAUAACACACACCACAAACAAACACAUGAUUAACACCAAUAAAAAAAACAAAUCUUAAGAUAUAAGAACAUUAUAUUCCAUAAUUUUGCAAUCAAAUAACAAACAACCCAUUUCAUUAGCUAAGAUACAAAAAAUUAAUAACUAAUACCCAAAUCUUCUCAGCAGCCAAAUAGCGAAACCUUAGAGUGAUUGAUUUGUAAAUUAAAAAAAAAUCAUAUUAGGGUGUGGACCUGAUUUGGGUAGAAUUAUUUCGGUAGUUGUUAGCAGCUUUGAAGCGCAGGAUCUCAAUCCAUUAUUCGUGGCCAUGGUGGUUCGGUUUGUUAUCGUAGAGAAAAUGUGAGAAAUGAGAACAAAAAGAACCCUCUUUCUCUC
rnacentral:lncRNA from 1 species